rnacentral:rRNA from 1 species
GACAGAGGGUGCAAACGUUGUUCGGAAUUACUGGGCGUAAAGCGCAUGUAGGCGGCCAAGCAGGUCGGAUGUGAAAGCCCUCGGCUCAACCAAGGAAGUGCAUUCGAAACCGCAUGGCUCGAGUCCCGGAGAGGAUGGUGGAAUUCUCGGUGUAGAGGUGAAAUUCGUAGAUAUUGGGAAGAACACCGAUGGCGAAGGCAGGUCUCUGGGCAUUAACUGACGCUGAGGAGCGAAAGCAUGGGGAGCGAACAGGAUAGAU